rnacentral:piRNA from 1 species
UUUGUCGAGAAGAAAUGGGUGAA